UGGGGAAUAUUGCACAAUGGGGGAAACCCUGAUGCAGCGACGCCGCGUGAGCGAAGAAGUAUUUCGGUAUGUAAAGCUCUAUCAGCAGGGAAGAUAAUGACGGUACCUGACUAAGAAGCCCGGCUAACUACGUGCC
rnacentral:rRNA from 1 species